UCUUUGGAUUUUAUGGUGGUAGUGCAUGGCCGUUCUUUAUUGGUGGGGCGACCAGUCUGGUUGAUUCUGAUAACGAACGACAUUUCGGUCUGCUAACCAGUGCGAUGACGUGUCUUUACUCAACGGAGGUCCCGUCGUUCAUCGCGUCAUGGUCCGGGUCGGUUUUCACACGCACUGCUUAGAGGGACGGGUGGUAGAAAGUGACACAACCUGGAGGGAUAAUAGGUCUGUGAUGCCCUUAGAUAUCUGGGACCGCGCACGCGCUACACUGGAGGUAUCAGCGAGGACGUCUUCCCUACCCGAGAGGGUUGGGAAACCUCUUAGCCACCACUCGUGAUAGGGACCGGGAGCUGUAACAAAAUUCGUGAACGAGAAAUUCCCGUUAGCCGCGUGUCGAUCACGUUCCUGCCCUUUGUGCACAUCGGCUGUCGCUACUACCGAUCGAAUGGUCCUGUGUGGCCCUCGGAUCCGGUCAACAACGCUUUCGGGCAGUGUGCACUUUCACGUGUGGAGUGGUCGGGUGUCGCGUUGCUGUCGACGUUAGCUGUACGUGUUGUGCUUGUCUCGGCGUUCGAUUCGCGGUCGUUUAGAGGAAGUAAAAAUUCGUAACAAGAUUCCCGUAGGUGAACCUGCUGAAGCAUCAUU